rnacentral:lncRNA from 1 species
AAAUAAGUUUCAAUGAUAUGAAAUGAAAAAGAGUAACCUGACGGUCAUUAGGCGCUAGUUGGAUCCUCUCGAGGCUCAGAACAAACAAAUUUGUUCAAUAAUGCACCUGCAUUUAUUAUUAUUGUUUUACGUAAAUUUUAUAAAAUUGAUGAUUGAUAACUGUUUUAGAACUGAAACUGUUUAAAAUUUAUCUAUGCAUUAUUAAAUAGUAAAAAUAUUAAAUUAUAAAAUAAUAUUAAUAUUAAUUAGAAGUGACGUAAAAAUACUAUUAUUAGUGACCAAUAAUUUAAUUAUAAAAAAAUUAUUGAUCCGUACUUUGAUAUUUCUUAGAAAUAUUAUUUAUUCACCAACCAAUAAAAGUCUGCAAGCUCAUAUUCAGUAGUUGAAAAAAAAGAAACAAAAUAAUAGAAUUUGCCAAAUUAUAUCAUAUAUUUUUUUAAGUAAAAAUAAAUAAAAAAUAGUACAAACCUUUUCUAACAUUGUUAAC